AUUGAACGCUGGCGGCAGGCCUAACACAUGCAAGUCGAGCGCGCGGCGGACGGGAGAGAAAUGUAUGGGGAUCCGCCCGAUAGGGGGGGAUAACUACUGGACACGGGGGCAAAUACCGCAUUCUAUGGGAUGCACCCAUAUGGGAUUCGAGAGUAGGUGGGGUAAAGGCUCAUAUAGGCGACGAUCUCUAGCUGGUCUGAGAGGAUGAACAGCCACACUGGGACUGAGACACGGCCCAGACUCCUACGGGAGGCAGCAGUGGGGAAUAUUGCACAAUGGGCGCAAGCCUGAUGCAGCCAUGCCGCGUGUAUGAAGAAGGCCUUAGGGUUGUAAAGUACUUUCAGCGGGGAGGCGUUACCCGCAGAAGAAGCACCGGCUAACUCCGUGCCAGCAGCCGCGGUAAUAC
rnacentral:rRNA from 1 species